rnacentral:snRNA from 1 species
AGAUGUGAGGGUGAUUUGGCUAUAGCAUCUGUCACCCCAUUGAUUACCAGUGUUGAUUUGGCUCAUCUGGCUGGCUAGGCAGGUGUCCCCUUCCUCCCUCACUGUUCCAUGUAUAUCCUGCCCAAAGCUACAUGCUCAGUCUAAGAGAAUGACCUUCCUUGAAUGGAGGAUGAUGGGUCUUGGUUAAGGUUAUAUGAGUAACUGUGCUCCCUGCUAGAACCUCUAAGCAAGCUCUCAAGCUAUAGGCUUCUGACUUGGUUCCCAGUACAAGGCAUGGAUUCCCUCCCAGAGAGCAGGCUAACAUAUCCAAUCAGAGAGCAGUUGAUU